CGUCAUAAUCUUGGGCGGUAGAGCGGCCCAGAUCUAAAGGAUGGGCUGGAGAAGUUCCGAAGAGGAGAUAAAGGAGGGGCCACCAAGGAAGGGGCGGGUCUAGACUGGGGCGGGGAAGAGGGCGAAAUAGGCGUAGGCCCCGCCCGUCGUAGAGCGGCCCGGAAUGGCGUCAUCAGCUGUAUAAGAGAGCUUGCGCAGACCACCGCGACCUUUCUCAUUCGGAAGCGAAGUCGCUUGUCGGUGGUGUAGUCCGGUGGAAUUUUGUAUUUUGAAAUAAUUGGGACAGAACUUUUUCACUUAGUUAAGAUGCAGGAGAUUCAAGAGUGUAGUAGUGGUAGAUCGAAGCCAGCAUUGAAAACCUCCAGGUUCCAAAGCCUGAACGAACUUAGACGUUCAGUAAGUCGCGCGGUCGCCACGUGCAGCCCUGAGCGCUGAGACCAAGAGGGGUCGCUCGUGGGCAGCUGGCAGUCGGCAAGAGUUCCGGGCACCCUAAGGUGAAGGUCGUUAGUUAACGCUGUCGAUACCGUGCGGCAGUCUGGAGCCUACUCCGGUACUAUUUAAAUAGUAACGCCGCACGCUGAUAGGCGCCGCAGUGGACCCUCUGGGUAUCAAGAAAUCCAAAGUAAUAGGGAUGAAGUGUGUUAAGCAGCUUGCAGUGCACUGCCAAACGUGAUACUAAAUCUCAGCACAUUGGGGAUCCAGUGGCGAAUGAUGUCUGGAAGCACCCGGUGCAGUAUUUUCAGUAUAGGCCUGAAUGUUAUUUUUCAUACGUAUGGCAUUUAAGGAGAAAAUUAGUGCUUUACAAUUAUAAUUAAAUAAAAUGAUUUUUCAUCUCAG